rnacentral:rRNA from 1 species
AUGGAAGUAGAUCUCUCCAACUCGGUAAAGUUCAUUUUUGUUUUGAAAAUCAUCAUGGAGUUCCAUGACGGAAGUCUUCAUCGCUUUGUAAAGUUUUGGAUUGCAACCACUAUAACACUCUUUCUAGUAUUGGUGCUCGCCAGCCAGAGGUGGCCGCCGCUAGAUGCAAUGAUGCCGUCUCCAUGGCGAGCAACAAAACAAAAUAGUAGAAACUCUAACGAGGAUGCCCAGUCCAAUUUCGCAGGUUUGGCUGAGCUUCUGCCCAUGGUGGCCACGGACGACCGGACGGUGAUCAUCACGUCGGUGAACGAGGCGUUCGCGCGGUCGGGCUCCCUGCUGGGCCUCUUCCGUGAGAGCUUCUUCGCCGGCGAGAAGAUCGACCACUUCCUCAACCACCUGCUCGUCGUCGCCAUGGACCCCAUGGCCUACCGCCACUGCCGGACCGUGCACCGGUUCUGCUACCUCCUCCCGACGACGAAGACGUCCAUGGACCUGAGCUCCGCGAGCGACUUCAUGAGCGACGCGUACGUGGCGCUGGUGUGGACCAAGCUGGAGCUCCAGCAGCGCGUGCUCCAGCUCGGCUACAGCUUCCUGUUCACGGACGUGGACAUCCUGUGGUUCCGGGACCCGUUCCGGCACAUCGGCGUGCACGCGGACAUGGCGACGUCCUGCGACGUGUUCUCGGGCGACGCGGACGACCUCAGCAGCUGGCCCAACACGGGGUUCUACUACGUGAAGGCGACGAACCGGACGGUGGAGAUGCUGCGGCGGUGGCGGGCGGCGCGGCGGAGGUUCCCGCGGAACCACGAGCAGACCAUCUUCAACAACAUCAAGCACGAGCUCGCCGGCGCCGGCAGCGACCUGCGCAUACGCGUGCAGUUCCUCGACACGGCGCGCUUCGGCGGCUUCUGCCAGCUGUUCCGCAACGACAUGGCGAGGGCGUGCACCAUGCACGCCAACUGCUGCAUCGGCAUGGCGAACAAGGUCAGCGACCUCCGGGACGUGCUGGGGCAGUGGAGAAACUACACGGUGAUGGCGCCGGCGGAGAAGAUGAAGGCCAAGGCCGCCGGGAGGAGCUUCGAGUGGCGCGUCCCGGCCAAGUGCGGGACGCCCGACAAGAGGCCAUAG